AGAAUCAACGCUGGCGGCGUGCCUCAGACAUGCAAGUCGAACGCGAAAGUCCCCUUCGGGAGACGAGUAGAGUGGCGCACGGGUGAGUAACACGUAGGUAAUCUACCUUUGGAUGGGGAAUAACAAUCGGAAACGGUUGCUAAUACCGCAUAAUACAGCGGCACCUAAUGGUGACAGUUGUUAAAGCGGGGGAUCGAAAGACCUCGCGUCUGAAGAGGAGCCUGCGGCGGAUUAGCUAGUUGGUAAGGUAGCGGCUUACCAAGGCGACGAUCCGUA
rnacentral:rRNA from 1 species